rnacentral:lncRNA from 1 species
CGGCGUCCGCAGCCCGGGUCGGGGCCGCUGCGGGGACCGGGACCGCUGCCGGGAGCCGGGGCCGGGGCACGGCGAGACCGGGGAGGCAAGCGGUGUUCCGACCCAGGGUGGAAAGACGUCACAACAUCUUCCCCUCCAGGCAUUGGCGGGGUUGCUGAGCAUCAGAAAUGUAGUCCCUCGUAGGGAACUAAAGACGGUCUGUCCUCUUUGGAGCCCCCAAAUUGGAUCAGGAUGACUUUGGAUAUUACAGGUAGAGGGAACAUUUCAGACCUAUUGUAGUACCUGGACUUUGGACAUAGCAUCUGAAAUGGAUAGGAGAGAGGGAUGUGAAAGACGACUUUGAAAAAGCAGCUGAAAUAAAGAAGAGAAUGUACGUGAGAGAGAUUUCA